ACAGCCGUUGCACACGAGUCAGUCGAUCCUAAGCCCUAGGAGAAAUCUGAUGACGAUGGGAGGUCGUGUAUAUACGGAGACCUUGCGAACAGGUCGACCCCCAUAGGGCGAAAGGGAAUCCGGUUCCUAUUCCGGAACCCGGCAGCGGAACCGCAUACCAUUCGGGCCCUCGUAAGAGUGUUCGUCGGGGUAACCCAAAAUGACCUGGAGACGCCGACGGGAGAUCCGGGAAGAGUUUUCUUUUCUGUAUAAGCGUUCG
rnacentral:rRNA from 1 species